rnacentral:lncRNA from 1 species
AGAGAAAGACAAUACAACACUUGCCGGCGACAAGGCCCCGGCUAUACCUUUACAAAGGACACAAAACUUCAAAGCACAACCACAUGGGUGGCAUGAGCCACACAAGGCCCCGGAAGGAAAGGGGCUCACCAAACAUGAAUACAGCUGAUAGAGGGGAGGAGGAGCUACGAACGGUGGACUGGAGUGCCCGCCACGGAUCCACCUAAAAUCAUAACAUGAAUGUAGUGCCCCCGGGAAAAAGGGACGUCACUGCAUUUGAAUUGUACUGGCAUGUAUGAACAGACUAUGUCCCAAGUAAUCUCAAGCCGACUUGCAUAUACAACUAUGGAACUAAACAACAAUAGCACAAGUACAACCAUGGAGCAACAACGAAACAUUUCACAACAAAAUGACUCAAGUAGUCAAACAAAGGGUCAAUCAAUGCCCCCACAGGUUACAAACUCUUCUGCUGCCUCCUUUUGAAAUUCCACAUUUAUCAUUUCAUGAUUCAUAUUCAUAUCAAUAGUGAUAUUGGAUCACAUUUACGACCCUUAUUACCUCGUCCACCCUUAUUACCUCGGCCACCCUUAUCACCCCAACCCACAUCUUAUUUUACUAUGUUGCGGCACGCAACCCGACCCCGCCUGACAGUUUUCAAUUCACAACAACAAAUAGCACAACGACAAAUACACGAAAUCAACUAUGGUACAUUGUUAAAAUAGAUCCAAACAAGGAUGAUGAAAUCCCAGCUCGAAGCAACAACAAUUUCCUAAUGUUCAUCAAAUUGAUACACAAUUUGAACUAUCACAACAAAUGUUCACACUAAUCACACAUGUUGGUCCAUAUUAUUUCCAUUUCCACUAUUCCACAUUAUUCCCAUUUCCACUGUUCCACAUUAUUUCCACUCCCACUGUUCUGCAUUAUUUCCAUUUCCGUUGAUCACAUUACAAGUUCCACCACAAAGUGUUAACACACAAUUAUACAACACAAAAGCUUCACAAUGAUUCCCACAUGAAUAGCAACUAUCAAUAAUUUCACAACUAACACAGGGAGAUUUCACAAGGAUCACAGUUAGCCGUACAUACUUGGAGUUGAUUAUUCCCUUUAAACCAAUAGAAAAAUUCGGCAAGCAAUCAAGAAGUCAAUCUAGUUCAUGAGCAACGCUUAGGUUUUAGAAAUUUAAACUUAUAGUUACUACCCAAUUCCCUUUUUACAACAUUUUAGAGUUUUGAAGACAUGCAUGAAGGUUUUAUGAGGAAAUUUCAAAGCAAGUGUAUGGGGUUCCCUUCCUAAGCUUAAUUUCGAAAUUUGGGGGAAAUGGGUUUGGGAUUUUACCUGAGAAAUCACUAGAGAAGACAGGUAAUAGCUUGAAAAAUUUUGGUGGCAAAUUAAAGUAAUCAAGGGUGUGGCGAACAAGGAUCAUUCUACAAGAUAAAAAGUCUUUUCUAAGUCUAUUUUAAGAAUCAUAUGGCUCUGCUUGCCUUUCAGUUUGUUAAACUUAGAAAUCAGUUCCUGGAUGAUGAUAGCAUUAUCCGAUGCUCUUCUAUUUUUCAUGAAACUAGCCCGAUAUGGACUGAUCACUUUAUCUAGGAAAGGUUUAAGACGGUUGGCUAGAAUCUUAGUGAUUGUUUUGUAGAUGGUAUUUCAUAGGCCAAUAGGUUUGAAAUUUUUAAUGUUGUUGGCAUUGUGGAUUUUGGGAAUGAGGCAGAGAAAAGUUUGUUAAUUUCCUAAUGGAUUUCCUAAUUGUUGAAAAUGACGCGACAAAGAUUGCUAACUGAUUGUCCUAUGUGAUACCAAUAUUUCUGAAAAAAGAAGAGGUGCAAACCAUCUAGACCAGGUGAUUUAAAUGAUUUGAACGAGAAGACAAAUCUUUUAAUUUCAUUGUCUAGAAGGAGUAUCUGGAUUGUUAAGUCAAUCCUGUUUCAUCUGAAUUGGGGAUUUAGAGGGUUGCCCGGUUAGAAUAUGAGUGAGAAGAAGUAAAUGUAGAGGUAAAAUAAUUUUGAACAUAUGACAUAAUUUGGAUAUGGUAAUUUAUCCAAUCACCCGCAUCAUCUUUGAGGAAAUUAAUUUUGUUUCUUCUUUUUCUAUGGGUGGCUGAGACAUGGAAGAAUUUUGUAUUUGUGUUUCACCAUUAAGCCACGUGAUCCUAGACCUAAGUUUUCAGUAAUCUUCCUCUAUAUUUAGAAUAUCAUUGAACUCAUUUUGUAGGUCUAAUUCUAAAUUUUGAAGGAAGGAGCGGGUAGCAUAGCUAUUGAAAGUUUGGAUACCUUGGAGUCUGGCUAAUAAUUUUCUCUUCCUUCCCAUAAUAUUACCGAAGGUGCUAUCUUUUCAAGGUUUUAACUUAUCUACUAAUUUAAGGCUAGCUUUGAAAUAAUCACUAUCAUUCCAAUUACUUUUUACAAUUGUCUGGAACUCCGAAUGUUUACACCGAAAGGUUUCUAGUCUAAAUGGAACUUUAUGGGGAGACCUAUUCCUUGGAAUCAGUUCUAUAAGGAUAUGGUUUUGGUAAGAGUGAGCUUUAGGCAAAUGAAUAAUGGAUUUUUUAGGAAAGAGUUCAAUCCAUUCCUCAUUUCCGAAAUCUUUAUCAAGUCUUUCAAAAAUAAGACCCUACUUGUUAUGUCUAUUGUAUGUCCAAGUAUAUUUGCUUCCUUUGAAGCCUAGAUAAAUCAAGUUACAUUUGUUGAUUUUGGACCAUAUGUAUCUAGCUCUACUAUCCUUAAUAGGUUUACCACCAAAUUUCUCACUAGUGGUUAAAAUAUCAUUAAAAUCACCACAUACUAACCAAGGUCCUUUAUAAGAGUUGCUAAUAUUUUUUAGGUGAUCCCACAUAAUAUUUCUAUUGUAAAUAAAAGUACUAUCAUAUAUACAAGUAAAAAGCCAAGGUUUACGUAUAAGAAUUACUUCUAUGGUUGCAUGGAUCUAUUGAUCCCUAUGAAAAAGAUUUUGAACGUUGAUUAUAUCAUCCUUCCACAUCAUUACCAUGCAUCAAUCAUUUCAGUGAACCAAACUCAUGAAGCAUGGCUGCAUGAUUCCCUAUCCUUGUUUCAAACAAAGUCACCAUACACGGCCUAUGUGUAUCAAUCAUCUCCCUAAAGUUUCUCCUGAAAUGUUUAUUAUUCCCUCCCCGUAUAUUCCAUAUUAUAAAAUUUGUAGGAUGAUUCAUGGCUAAAUUAGAUUCACAAUUUACCAUCACUUCGUUUUCCCUUACCCCUCCCAUUUGGAUAGGAUUUCUUCUCAUCGAAGGAACUAGAAUCAUCACCUUUCUUCCCACUGUUGGGUCGUGUGGAGGACGGAUAUCCAUCGAGCACUUGCAUAGGGCUAACGGGUAACUGAGCAUAUGCCUCUUCUCGUGCCUCUUCGUGAAGAGAAAUUUUUUUAUUCCAUAUAGGUUUAAGAGUUCUAGGGUUGGCCCUAAGUGUAGGUUUAGAGGGACAACGUCCUACUCCAUUUUUGCAUCUACUGGAUCGGGUAUGGGGUGGAGUGUUGUUGAUGUGGGGGUGCUGGACGGGGUAGGUAAGGGGGGCUGGCAUCUCCUGGUUCUCCUGGUAGAUGUCCUAAGGGAGAAAGAUGGGAUUGAGAUGAGUAUACAUCUGUCACACCCCCUUUUUCGCUAUACACCCCCGCAAAGGGGCGUAAAGGAGUUUUUUCAGUUAAAGGAUAAUCGGAACGGGAUUUAAUUUAUUAAUUAUUUAGAGUCGGCACUUGGGAGAUUUAUGGUAUCCCAAGUCACCGGUUUAAUCCCGAACCGAGGAAAAGAUUGACUCUGUAUUACAGACCGCGAACCAGAAAUCCGGAUAAGGAAUUCUGUUAACCCGGGAGAAGGUGUUAGGCAUUCCCGGGUUUCGUGGUUCUAGCACGGCCGCUUAACUGUUGCAUUUGAUUUUAUCUGAUUUUAAUACACGCUAACUUAUGUGCCUUUUAUUUAUAAACCACUUUUAUCAUUAUUUAUUUUUAAAAAAUUACGACAUCGUGAAAACGCAUCUCUGACCACAUCACCAUCAAGGCACCCUUGGUCGUCAACACAUUUCAACUUCAUCAAGAUUUAGAUUUGGGUCGCAUCAAUACGCACCCGAAUUUAAGAAAGUAAUUUGAUUAAAUCGCGCUUAAAGGUUUUAGCGUAAUAUUUUUUGGGAAAGGCCGUUGAAAUUCGUUAGACGGCCUCUCCGAAUUCUAGUCAUUUUUAAUAAUCAAAUAUUUAGGGCCCCGCAUUUGUUUUUGUUCGGUGAGACUCAUAUCCUUUUUUUUGAACCCAUUUUUUUACAUUAUUUGUUUUAUAAGAAUUACGACGUCGUGAAAAUGCGUUUCUAACCCCGUUGCCAUCAAGGCACCCGUGGUUGUUAACACAUUUUGACUUCGUCGAGAUUUGAAUUUGGGUUGCAUCAAUGCACACCCGAGUUUAAGAAGGUAUUUUCAUUAAACGCGUCUAAAGAUUCUAACGUAUUAUUAUUUUGGGGAAGACCGUGAAAUUCGCUAAACGGCCCUCCCAUAUUCUAAGUUAAUUCUUACAAAAAUUAAUCGAGGGCCCCGCAUUAUUUUUGUUUGUUUUAAUUAAAACGCGUCUAAAGAUUCUAGCGUCUUAUUAUUUUGGGAAAGGCCGUGAAAUUCGCUGAACGGCCCUCCCGAAUUCUAAGUAAUUUAAUAGCCAUUUAUUGAGGGCCCCGCAUUUGUAUUUGUUUGACGAGGCUCAUCUCAUUAUUUAUUAAAGGAUAUCCUUAAGUGAACUAUAUUUCCUAUUUUAUUUAUCUCCCAAUAGAGAAUAGACUUACUGUUAUUGUUGAUAAAAGUCCAAGCCUUACGGUUUAUUAAAAAAAAGAAAGUUCAAACCCAAUGCUCUUGAGUAAAGAAACGAAACAGGCCUGUCAAAUUGCUCAAUAAAAAAAUUGAUAAUUCGUUCCAUUCCCAGCCUCUGGGCCUGCGCUUGGAGAGAAGGGCAUCAACAAACAUGUCCAGCGGGUCCAUUCCAGACAGUGGUCCUAGUGUUAAACAACGGCUUGCAUAACUGGGAAAUACUUUAACCUCUGAUGUCUUUUCCUUAUCAAAGAACUCCUAACCUUUAUUAAAAUGACAGCUUCAAUAACAGGAAUUCACCUCCAAUACCAGGAAAUAAAUUUAAGGGUGGGAUCUCACUUAAUCCUUUUAUUUUAAUUAAAGACAGGAGAAACAAUUCAAACCAACAUCAACCUGUUAAGGUUCCUGUGAGCCCAGAUUUUUCAAAGAAACUGGGCUACUGAGAUUAAUGUCUGCGAAAAUAUGCACCAAUUUUAACACUACUAAAAUGAAAUCACACACGACAGAGCAUCAACUAAUGAACCAGCUAAGUCAGCUAUAGCUCAUGCAAUUCAAAUAGUUCCACAUUACUCAUAAAACUAAACAGUUCCAAUACAACUAAAUCAUUACAGCAGAUAUGGUAUGCUAACUAAUGCAAUUUCACACGAAAUCAAUCUCCUGUUUUAUUGCACUUUUAACUGGAUACUUCACAGGGAAUCAAGCUUGGAAACGUGUACCUGGAAGCAAAAGUUAACAAAAGAGGAAUUGAGGAUCAGCAGCAGUGAGUGUAGCAGCAGUCAGUGAAAACCAAAUCAAUCAGCAAACUCGAGCUUAAACCAGGAAAUAUACUCAAACCAAGACCCGGACAGAGUUGAAAACCCAGCAGCAACAACAAACAACCAAAAACCAGACUUAACCAACCCAAAAAUUGCUUGGAAUCAACUAUAACUAACUCGGAAACUUCAGCAACUAAAGAGAAAACCAGGAAAUGAGCAAAUUAGCCUACAAAGCUAAUGAAACAGUGAUUUUUGGAUUUUUCUAUUUUUUUGUGUAUUUUUAUAUUUUCUUUUAUCUAAAAGGCUGAAACUGAUCUAAAACUGGAAAAGCAAAGGAAAA